AUCAAUGUCCUCACUGAUUAAGCCCGUUUGAGCAGAGUUUUUGUUACCCAGAACCCACGAUAUCCCGAAUGAUGCCCCCGCCUCCCACCUGAAGCCCCAGGAGCAAAGGUAUUCUGGCCAGAAGCCAGAUCAUGGAAUCUCAUUGGGUCACCCAGUGACUAGCCAAACCCAAGCAGGUACGGAUCCAAAAGCUGAGCUCAUUGCUGACAGAAGAAUUCCUCCCAGAGAAUGGGCCGUGAGCCUAUUCCCAAAUCAGUGGGUGGGUAACUGCCUAAGGUAAUAUCUAACCCGUGUGGUCAUGAGAGGGGGCUGCAUCUUGAGUGGUUGAAAGUCCUGUUGGAAUCCAAAUUGUAGGGAAUGCCCUAAGGAGUUAGACCUCGAGGUGGUGAGAGGGCUGCCUUGGUCUUGCUUGACCCGAUGUCCUAGCUUGCUAUUUGGUUUCUUGGAUUGCCUUUAUUUGCAUUUCUUAUUCACGGGGCAACCUCCUGGUUCCUGAGUAUUCCCAAAUUGUGUGGCAAGUGAAGAAAUUAGGAUUCUGUUUGUCUUUUGAAAAAUUGCUCGUGAAGAAUGGACAGGCCCAGUGGAAUCCCUUCAUCCUCCCAUCCAACAUUCCUCACUAAUGACCUUCCUAGUCUGAGAUGCGGUUAAAGACGGAUGGCUCGUGCCCUCAGGCUACACCACUUCAUAUGCUGCAUUUCAAAAUCCAUGCCCUCUGUACUGAACACUAAUGACUGGGACAAACUUCCAGGAUAUUCAGAGUAGAUGGUAGCCACUCGUGAAGCCCUAUACAUGUGUAGGCCUGCACCAAUUCUGCCCAGGUGUCAGGCAGGCGAGAGCCAGGAUACCUGGCUUCUGAGGAUGGGAGCCUUCAUGGCCCUGGGGAUCCAAAGGACUUGGUUUGUUCCCUUCUAAGGUGGAGUCAAGGCCAGAACAAAGGCAUAAGCAAGAAAAUCUCAUUGAGGUCAUACUGCCAACAGACAUUCUGAUGCCCACAGCUAGGGGCAGUAAGAGGUGGGUAAGUGGGCCAGUGUGAUCCCUGGUGGGGUUCCUGUGUGAUCACGUGGCAGCCGGACAGGAGCAGGGAGGUGGGUGGGAAUGCAGGGUCUUCCGCAAGGACAGAACAGAAAGCAGGUGCCAAGAGCGCCACCAUGCCUUGGGGGCGUGAUGGCUGUAUCUCCAAAGUUGGGUAGAUGCUGGCCUCUUCCUUGGCAUCCUUCUAGCCCCCAGAAGGGCUCAGUCUGUGGGCGUGGCAAUCGUCCAGACUCCCCUCGAGCCGUAUUUCCGGCAAGUGUCCCGCCACCAGCGUCAUAUGCACUCUGAUCACUGCUCUCAGCACACGUAUAUUUAGUUUGUCCCCUGCUGUUCAUUUGUGAUUGUUUGCAGGUUGUGUCAUGUGUGUAUGUUAUGUCUACGCUGGAUACAGGCCCCUGAGACCAAGGUCUGUCUUCUAGUUUUUGUGAAUCACCAUCCCCCUCCUCCACAAACCACACCACCACCACCACCAAUAAGAACUAGGACCUACUACGGGGCAUUGCACAACACAGACAAAAAUGCUUGUAAGUAAGUUGCCAUUACUGACAGUCCGAGGUUCACCCCCACUGUGAACCAACACUGUGGAGGGAAAAGCUGAGGGUCAGAGCCGAGGAACAUGUAGAGAGGGGCUCUUUGUUAAGAACAGACCAGGCAUCUAUUUGCCCCGAGAGGGCUGUCAGAAUUACAAAAAAAAAAAAAUUGGGAGGCAUGUCCCAUAGCCUCAUGGGACACAUGCACCUGGGAAGAUUCUUCACAGACCUGGCCGAUAGGGGGAACGACAAUUGCCAGCCAUCACAUCACCCUGCCAUAGCAGAUCAGUGCACAAGAAAUUAGAAUCAGAACAUUUUGCUAUGGCUUGGCGAAAUCUAAGGCAGCUUUUUUCCAGACAAUCCAGUAAAACUCUAAGACAGCUUCUUACUAUGAGAUUCCUUGACAUGGCGACCCGUCCAACUUAAAGGAUUUAUUCGGGUUGUCAGCUUUUCAGAAAGGUAUUUCUUGAAACGAAACAACGAAAAACACCGACUUCGAAGGGAGGGCGCAAACUGCAGAGGUCGCGGGAACACCAAGGUGCGGGGUGGCUCCUGGCCACCAGGGGGCGUGGUCUCCCCGGUCCUCGGCUGCAAAGCCAACCGCGGCGUCCGCAGCCCGCCCCGCACUGUCACACGGCCCGCAGCCCCCUCCGCGAAGCCCGGGCCCGGGGAUCCAGGUGGGCACCAGGCCUCUUCUCCCACUUGGGCAUUUCCUGCAGCGGCCCGUCCAGGUUUCACCAUGCCUCAGUGAGGCCCUGGAGCCUCACCAGCUCCAGGAAGCCCCCUCUGAUUACUCCAGAGUGAGGAAAAGGAUCUAGUCGGCCCCAUAUACGGUUAUAUCCCCAGCGCCUAAUACUAUGCCUGGCACUAGUGGGGUCUCAAGAGCAAGAGGGAAGUUUUGGACGAUGGCGUCUUCCUCGGACGGUCCCAGGAGUGUGGCUGUUUUGAAAAAUCAGGCGUUCCUGCCAGAGGCGCUUCAGGCUUUCAACAGUCCUCUUAGGUAACACUAUUCACCUAGUUUCUCUGAUGAGGAAACUGAGGCUCAGAAGUACACGCCCAGGUCACGGAGCUAUAGGAAGUAGGGAGGACAGAAAGACGCGUCUGGAUUAGGAAGCAUGCACCAGCGGCUUUGCCUGCCUCCGAUCAUUUCAUCUACACAGCAGGUGACAGGCUUGCUAAAGUGUAAAUGCCUUGCCCAAGGUCAUAGAGGCCAGUGGGCCCUGGGAUUUGUUGAUUCCAAGUCCCUACUAUUUUUUUUUUUUAGUGUUUAUUUAUAUUUGAGAGAGAGAGAGGGAGACAGAGUGUGAGCGGGGGAGGGGCAGAGAGAGACAGAGACACGGAAUCCGAAACGGGCUCCGGGCUCCGAGCUGUCAGCGCAGAGCCCGACUCAGGGCUCCAACUCACAAGCCGUGAGAUCAUGACCUGAGCUGAAGCCGGACGCUCAGCUGACUGAGCCACCCCAGCGUCCCUCUACUAUUUUCACUUCCUUACACUUGUGGCUUUGGUCUCUGUUGUGCCUCCAUUGCCGAAUCUGUAAAAUGGGGGUGAUGACAGUACGUACCUCAUGGUGUUGGUGGGGGGGUGGGUAAGAAAAAUGACACCCGGCCUGCAGUAAGAGCUCUGUAAGUGGACGCUAUUCUCACUGUUUUUGUAAUUGCACUGCAAGACCUCCCUCAGGAUCACGAGUCGGACCACUCCCUGUGGCGGGAGAACCAGAUCCCGUGGGAGCCCCCUCCGGGGCCCAGGUGCUCCUGAGGCCCAGCCGCAGGUGCCUGGGAAAGUCUGCGACAGGAAUAAAGGGAACAAAGGCUCCAGGUGCUCGGCUGAAGCUUUGUCUGGCUCAAGGCCUGUUUCCUGCUCGAUCAGGUUGCUCUUGGCUGGCUGGGCUCCGGGAGCUGACCCCUCCCCCCUGCCCCUGCCCCUGCCGCUGCCCCUGCCAGCCGAGGGCUGAGGGCCAGGCCUGGUGAUGCAGGACGGGGCCCAGCUGGGCAAAGCACUUCCUUUUUAGAGCCCAGCCUUGGAGUUUGGCUGGCUGAAGCAGGAAGCCUUGAGACACCAGGCCCUCCCUCCAGCUCUGUGGUUUCAGUGAGCCCCCCUCCCAUCCUCCUUAGGUGGGGUGGCCCUGGGGGUAGAGCCUGGGGCUUGAAUGCCAGCCCAAGAAUGAAGCCCUAACCCGAGGCAACCUGUCUUUCUCUCUGCCUCUCGGUUUUCCCGGCAAGGAUGUUCAGAAGGUUGUGCCGGUUCAUGGAGAAAGCCCUUGCAAGCCCUAACAAUUCCCUGGGGCCCCCAACACUGCCUGUAGGAGACGGAGCUUCAGACCCGGUGGCGGGUGAUCCUAGUGUAACACAAACUGGGGCCUGUCUCCCUCUGCUUCACCCCUACCGCAACCCCCGGCUGCCCACCCCCGUCCCUGCGCGGCAGCUCUCGGUCAGGACCUUAAAGAAAGGUCCUUGACCGGGAGUUUAUUCCUGCCUCAGGGCUUUUGCACUUGCUGUCCUGUUGCCCCGGAACACAGUGUGCUCCAGGUGUCCAUGUGGCUGUCCUUGUCGCUCAGGUUUGAGCCCUUAGAUGUUACCACCUUAGAGAGGCCUUCUUUGUCACCCUCUGAACCAGCCCCUGCCUUGUCCCUCACUUUCAACCUCAUCCUGUUUUCUAACCCUCAGAGGACUCACCUCCGUCCCUCAGAAUUUCUUUUUUCUUUUUUUAAUGUUUAUUUAUUUGAGAGAGAGAGAGAGAGAGAGAGAGCACACGAUGAGAGAGGGGCAGAGAGAGAGGGAGACACAGAAUCUGAAGCAGGCUCCAGGCUCUGAGCUGUCAGCACAGAGCCUGAUGCGGGGCUCGAGCCCAUGAACCGUGAGGUCAUGACCUGAGCCAAAGUGAGAACGCUCAACUGACUGAGCCACCCAAGCGCCCUUCUCAAAGUUUCUUGUUCUGAUUUAUCUCCCUUCUUUUUUUUUUGUAUUUUCUUUAACUUAUUUUUUUAAUUUAUAUCCAAGUUAGUUAGCAUCUAGUGCAACAAUGAUUUCAGAAGUAGAUUCCUUGGUGCCCCUUUACCCAUUUAGCCCAUCCCCCCUCCCACAACCCCUCCAGUAACCCUCUGUUUGUUCUCUGUAUUUAAAAAUCUCUUCUGUUUUGUCCCCCUCCCUGUUUUUAUAUAAUUUUUGCUUCCCUUCCCUUAUGUUCAUCUGUUUUGUCUCUUAAAGUCCUCCUAUGAGUGAAGUCCUAUGAUACUUGUCUUUCUCUGACUAAUUUCACUUAGCACAAUACUCUCCAAUUCCAUCCACGUAGUUGCAAAUGGCCUCCUUUUUUUUUUUUUAAUUUUUUGAAUGUUUGUUUUAUUUUUGAGAGAGAGAGCAUGUGUGCACAAGCAGGGGAGGGGCAGAGAAAGGGAGACAGAGGAUCCGAAGCAGGCUCCGUGCUGACAGCAGAGGAGCCCAACGCAGGGCUCGAACUCAUGGACCGCGAGAUCAUGACCUGAGCCCAAGCUGGGGGCUUAAUCCUGACUGAGCCACCCGGGCGCCCCUAUCUCCCUUUUUCUCGUCUGCCUCUUCGCUGGAAUCUACGCCUCCUGAAGGGAGGGCCUCUCUGUCUUUCCUUCCACCGUCUCCAGAGCUGGGCCUAGCACUGGACAGCCGGGUACUCCCUGUAGCUGUCACCAACCGUGAGACCCGCCUUAGGAUGAAUGUCUUGGUGUCUGUUCCCGUCCGCACUUCUGUGGAGGCAGCUUUGCGGGUAUGAACGCACUUCAGAUUCCCAAAGCACUUUCAAAUAAAUGCACUGCCUCGUUGGUACCUCAUCUCACAACUCAAACCCAUUGUUCCACUGGGUCAUGUUACAGAUGUGCAUAUAUUCAGACUCACUGCGUUGGGGUGUGGGGUGGUAGCACUCUCAUCUCCGAGAUUCUCGUAGGCUCUGGGUUGUUCUAGGACUCUGUUGAUGCAGGUGUUACCUUUAGGUCUCAGCCAGGGAAACUCUUAAACGCUUGCUCUCUUCCAUGGCUGGGACAUCCCACUUUCUCUUCUGCUCUCGGGCCUUGGAAUUAGAGCAGGACCUCUAAAUAGCACAGAGUACUUAGUACCUAGCAUUCUGCCCUCUCAGGUUCACGGAUAUUCGGCGGCAGGUGAGGCUUGGAGGCGAAGGGACCCAGCCGCCAGGAAAGUGGCGAAGGCGGGUCUAGAACUCCGCUGCAGAACCCUCCGCUCGCUCGGACUCCAACCCGACGGCCCGGCUCACCACGCGCAUCUGUAUGUGGAUUCACUUCCAGCUGCCUGGGGGGUGGAGCUCUUCAUGGUCUAAAUUGUUAAAAUCGUAAUGGCAUCUUUAGGUGCCUUUAUUAAGCUCAUUAAGGGCUUAUGAGGUCUUGCCCUGGCUUUCCGCUGGAUCCUGCAGCCGGAGAGGGAGGCGAGGCUCCCAGCUGUGCCCAUGUGAUGGCGUGCAUGGAAACUCCUCAAAGGACAGCAGAGAUCCAUACUGACUGGGAACUUGGCAAAGAUAAGCCUGCGUGGGUGUGCAGGGACACCUAGGCGCCGUCUGGAAGGAUGUGCUUCAGAAUGCCAGCAGGGACAUGGGGCGCCUGGGUGGCUCAGGCGGUUAAGCAUCUGACCCUUGGUUUCGGCUGGGGUCAUGAUCUCACGGCUUCGUGGGUUCGAGCCCCACAUCGGGUUCCUCCGCGCUGAGGGUGCAGAGCCUGCCCGGGAGUCUCUGCCUCCUUCUGUCUCUGCCCCUCCCCCACUCACAUUGUCUCUGUCUCUCUCAAAAUAAAUAAAUAAACUUAAACAAGGGAAAAAAAAAGAAGAAUGCCAAUAGUGGCGUCCCUGGGGAUGGCCUUCUGAGUGAUCUUUCAGUCUCUUCUUUAUGCUUUUUGGAACUGUCUGAUUUUUUUUUUUUUUUUUAUAAUGAGCAAGCAUUUCCUUUAUAAUCAGAAAAAGAAAUAAAUAGAGUCAUUUUCAUCUUGAAAAGGAAUGGAAGACAGCCCCUGAAUAGAAAUAAAGGAAGGGGAAGAGUGCUUAUGAAGUCGUGAUCGGUGUUUUCAGUCGGAUCACUCAGGGGGACGUCCCGCAGCGCUCCUCUCUCUCAGGAUCCCAGUGAUUAACGUCACAAGCCCUUCCCGGAGACUGUGCAGCGAGACGCUGGAGGAGAUCCGAGAAGUGAGACGUCAGUGAGUCAGAACUCAUUCAAAGCCCCGGAGUUUCCCGGCCGUUACCUUCCACGCCUGGACCUAUGAGUCAGGGUCAUCUCGCCCCCGUUGAGUGUGGUGCAUACAUGCUUCCCUGCCCUGCUCUUCCGGGGGCCCCAUCCCAGCCUUCACGCGUGCACACACACCGCCCCGGCCGGCCGCGUCCCCUGCCGCGUGUCCUGGCGAGGGUGCGGGUGCAGGCGCGCCCGGCUUAUUCACUCACCCCCGGGGGGUGUGCACGGGCCCCUUGGGUGCUGAGCUCAGGCUCUGCACGGCCAGAGACGAACCGAAAAAAGAAAAAUAAAUAUUAGUACUUCCUUUCCCAUAAAUGUUGCAACAGUCUAGCUGUAGCUUAGAGCGUAUAUUUUUUUAAGUCCAUUUAUUUACUUGGGGGGUGGGAGGGGCAGAGCAGGAGAGAGAAAGAAUCCUAAGCAGGCUCCAUGCUCAGUGUGGAGCCCGAGGGGGGGGCUCCUAUCCCACCACCCUGGGAUCGUGACCUGGGCCGAAAGCAAGAGUUGGACACUCAACUGACUGAGCCACCCAAGUGCCCCUUAAGGCAGGUAUUUUGUGAAUAAUCAGAAUUAACCCACAUGUCUGGCGUUAGUGGUCUGUACCCAGAGAACAGAAUACUAUGGAGGUACUAAAAAGAGUGAAGUAGAUUAUGUAAAGUGACAUAGAAAAUGGUCAUUUUGGGGGUGUCUGGCUGGCUCAGUCAGGAGAGCAUGCGACUCUUGAUCUCGGGGUUGUGAGUUUGAGCCUCAUGUUGGGUGGGGAGAUUAGAGAUUACUUAAAAGUAAAAUUAGACAUUCUUUUUUUUUUUUAAUGUUUUUAUUUAUCUUUGAGAGAGCCCAAGCAGAAGAGGAGCAGAGAGAGGACAGAGGAUCCAAAGCGGGCUCCACACCGACAGCAGCAAGUCCGAUGGGCUCAAACUCAUGAACGGUGAGAUCAGAACCUGAGCCAAAGUCGGAUGCUCAACCGACUGAGCCGCCCAGGCACCCCUCACAAGUGUUUUUAAAGAAAUACAUAGUCAUUUCACAAAAAUGAAAUGUCAUAUACGGUAGGACAAAAUUAAAUAUUAUAAACCAGAAAAAUUGUUUAUGGUUCUGCAUAGAUAUAAAAAUAUUAUCAAAACAUUCAUAUUAUCCCUUCAAAUAAAAAAAUAAAAUUAAACAUUCUUUAAAAAAUAA